rnacentral:misc_RNA from 1 species
UUUCCGUAGGUGAACCUGCGGUAGGAUCAUUACCGUACAAAAGGUCAGAGGCAUCCGAGGGCUUUCGCUUAUCCCAAAGUCGUGCACGCCGGAGUGAGUUCUCUUGCAUAAUAAUCCAUCUCACCCGAUGUGCAUCACCGCGUGGGAACCCUUCGGGAUCAUCUCGGAGGGGUGCUCGCGUUUUCACACAAAACCCCCUGUUAAAAGUGUAGAAUGACCACAUUUAUGCAAUAAAUACAACUUUCAACAACGGAUCUCUUGGCUCUC